CGGGAAUUAGCUCAGAUGGUAGAGCAUUCGCUUUGCAUGUGAGAGGUGGUGGGAUCGACGCCCGCAUUCUCCA
rnacentral:tRNA from 1 species